rnacentral:rRNA from 1 species
GGAAAAGAAAAUAACAAUGAUUCNNNCAGUAACGGCGAGCGANGAGGGAUAAGCUCAANUUUUAAUCUGUUGGGUUCCACUUAACAGAGUUGUAUUUUGAAGAAACGUUUUCUGCGUCCAGGAUUAGCCUAAAUCCUUUGGGAUAAGGUAUCAUGGAGGGUGAGAAUCCCGUUCAUGGUUAAUCUUAAGGAAGCUCUACGAUACGUUUUCCAAGAGUCGAGUUGUUUGGGAUUGCAGCUCAAAAUGGGAGGUAAAUUUCUCCUAAGGCUAAAUAUUGGCGAGAGACCGAUAGCGAACAAGUACCGUGAGGGAAAGAUGAAAAGAACUUUGAAAAGAGAGUUAAACAGUACGUGAAAUUGUUGAAAGGGAAACGAUUGAAGUCAGUCAUACCAACGGGAAAUCAACCUCUUGAGCUCGGUCUCGUGGGUUUUGAAGAGUUUCAAAGCCUUCGGAUUCGCGAGAUUGGGAUCUCUUGGUGUACUUUUUCGUACGGUUAGUCAACAUCGGUUUUGWAUGUCAUAAAAUGACUGGAGGAAUGUAGCUUCGAUCUCGUAUUGAAGUGUUAUAGCCUUUGGUAGAUGUGAUGUUUGAGACCGAGGAUUGCAACGGAUACCCUUCAGGGCUAUUCGUCUGAUCUCUGAUACGUUGCCUUGAUGUUGAAAGCUCGCUUAUGAUGUUAGGGUAUUACGGUCAAAAGGUUNGAACGAAUUACAUUCGUAAGGAUGUUGACGUAAUGACUUUAAACGACCCGUCU